rnacentral:rRNA from 1 species
GACGAACCGUACGAACGUUAUUCGGAAUCACUGGGCUUAAAGGGUGCGUAGGCGGCGGCGCAAGUUGGGUGUGAAAUCCCUCGGCUCAACCGAGGAACUGCGCUCAAAACUGCGUCGCUUGAGGGAGAUAGAGGUGAGUGGAACUUAGGGUGGAGCGGUGAAAUGCGUUGAUAUCCUAAGGAACACCAGUGGCGAAAGCGACUCACUGGGGUCUCUUCUGACGCUGAGGCACGAAAGCUAGGGUAGCGAAACGGG